UGGGGAAUAUUGGACAAUGGGCGAAAGCCUGAUCCAGCCAUGCCGCGUGUGUGAAGAAGGCCUUUUGGUUGUAAAGCACUUUAAGCGAGGAGGAGGCUACUUGGAUUAAUACUCUAGGAUAGUGGACGUUACUCGCAGAAUAAGCACCGGCUAACUCUGUGCCAGCAGCCGCGGUAAUACAGAGGGUGCGAGCGUUAAUCGGAUUUACUGGGCGUAAAGCGUGCGUAGGCGGCUUCUUAAGUCGGAUGUGAAAUCCCUGAGCUUAACUUAGGAAUUGCAUUCGAUACUGGGAAGCUAGAGUAUGGGAGGGGAUGGUAGAAUUCCAGGUGUAGCGGUGAAAUGCGUAGAGAUCUGGAGGAAUACCGAUGGCGAAGGCAGCCAUCUGGCCUAAUACUGACGCUGAGGUACGAAAGCAUGGGGAGCAAACAGG
rnacentral:rRNA from 1 species